GAAAUGCGAUACUUAAUGUGAAACGCAACGCAGUGUGAAUCAUCAAGGUUUCGAACGCACAUUGCGCUGUCCGGGUCUUCCCGGACAGCAUGCCUGUUUGAGCAUCGUUUCAAACCUCAACCGCGCGCCGCCCUCACCGGCGCGCGCGGUUGGACGCUGAGCGCCUCACUUGCUUGCGCGAGUGGGCCGCUUGAAAUGGAGACCCCUUUCUGGAUGCAGCGCGCACCACGCCGUCUGCCUCUUGUGCUGUGACGAAGCUCCGCUUCCCACCACCCCACUCGAGCACGCAGUCGACGGCCGCAGCGUCACAACACGCGAAGGAAAGGACCGAGAACGAAAUGCACAGUGCGUCGCCCGCAAGGGGGGCGGCUGUUACCAUCGCGAUCUCAAAUCAGGCAAG
rnacentral:misc_RNA from 1 species